AGUAUGCAGAGAAACUCGCACUCUGCCUGCCAGUAGAAACUGACUACAGUGGAGAACAGAGCCAUGGGGGCUUCGGGCAGCACCGAAGAUGGGAAGGUCCUGGAAGGCCUUCAUAGGAGUGGAGCAGAGCUGGAAGCCAGGCUGCCAGGCCAGAAGCCAACUGCUGCAGUCCUGCUUGGAUAAGGAAGCUGGCGUUUGGGCUAGAGUGGCUGUGGAGGUGACUGUGAGAAAGUGGGUUUGAGCUGCACUGUCCUCAAUCUUCAUGCGGGUUCCGGGGCCUCUGUAGACAUCAAAGUCCUCAGAUGCCCAAGUCAUUAAAGGAUUCUGGCUCUUCCUUUGAAUAUUCUAGAGACUUCCACUCCUGCUACAAUGGUUUUGGGACUCAAACCACAGGCAUAAAUAAGCUGUCCUUUGGAGAAUGAGAUAAGUGAGCCUAGGCAGAAGCCACAGCAGGAACCAGGAGCUGUUUGGCUCUUCGGAGGACGGGAGUGUCUGAGGCAAGCCGAACCCUACUUCCUGCUUCUGUCCCAUGCUGCACACGGCCUGUUAUCCACCGCAGCCAGAGGGAUUCUGUGGAAACCUGUCAGGGCACGUUGGCCCUCCACCUCAAAGCCAUCUUCCCAUCAUGCCCUCCUCCGUCCAAGCCCUUCCUGCCUCCGGGCCUUUGCACCUUCUCCCAUCAGACUUUAUUCCAAGUGUUCUGUGCCCUCCUCCUGAUCUUUGUGUGUGUGUUCAUGUGAUGUGCUUGCUCAUGUGUGUGUUAGUAUGGAUAUGCAUAUGUGUGAUCAGAGAACAGCACCAGGUGUCUGUCCUCACCUUCUGCCUGAUUUGAGACAGAGUCUUGCAUUGUUCCCAGAUGUGUUCUCCUGAAUAGCUGGCCUGAGAGGUCCCAGGGGUC